UCUAGCUCUUCAAUCCUGUCCUCUAUUCAGUGUUUCCGCGUCUUUUCUUAUCAAAUCUUCCCACCUCAAUCGUGGUCUUCCCAGUGGUCUCUUACCAACUGGGUUCUUGUCCUUGAUCAACCCUGGUUAGUGGCGGGUUUAGUUUGUCUUCUAAGGGGGGGGGGAAUAUUUAAAUAACAUGACCAGACGUCAGUCAGUCAAUAUGACCCCUGACCGCUUAAUGUGACAGCACAGCUAUCUGCAUAGGCUGUGAUUAUAAUUUCUUAACACUCUAAACUUCUAUACACAUUUCUGAAAGAAAUUAUUAUUUAUAGAUAGUUUGAUGUCUGGGGGCCCUAUGCUCCCCUCAGUAGUAUCAAUAUGCC